UAACAAUAAUCAACGUAUGAAUCUCAACAACGGUGACAAACAACAUAUUCAGAUAAACAGACCAACUCUGAACAUCACAAAACUAGAUACAAAAAAUGAACAUAAAAACAGCAAAAAUAAAAUAUAGUUAGAAUAAAAAGUUAAAAAGACCGUUCAGUUCAUAAUUUAUUCAUGCCGCAAUGCAUGAUGGGAGCCAUGGAUGAGUUUUUAUUGGCUACAACAUGCUUUUUUGAUGGUCACCGUUGUUGUGAUGCUCACGCUGAUUCUUGAUGUCUGUGUGUCUAAACUAAAGAA